CCAGACUCCUACGGGAGGCAGCAGUGAGGAAUAUUGGUCAAUGGCCGAGAGGCUGAACCAGCCAAGUCGCGUGAGGGAAUAAGGCCCUAUGGGUCGUAAACCUCUUUUGUCAGGGAGCAAAGGCGUCCACGUGUGGACGAGAGGAGAGUACCUGAAGAAAAAGCAUCGGCUAACUCCGUGCCAGCAGCCGCGGUAAUACGGAGGAUGCGAGCGUUAUCCGGAUUUAUUGGGUUUAAAGGGUGCGUAGGCGGAGUGUCAAGUCAGCGGUAAAAUUUCGGGGCUCAACCCCGUCGUGCCGUUGAAACUGACGCCCUUGAGUGAGUGAGAAGUAAGCGGAAUGCGUGGUGUAGCGGUGAAAUGCAUAGAUAUCACGCAGAACGCCGAUUGCGAAGGCAGCUUACUAAACUGCCACUGACAUUGAUGCUCGAAAGUGUGGGUAUCAAACAGGAUUAGAUACCCUAGUACC
rnacentral:rRNA from 1 species